rnacentral:rRNA from 1 species
AUUGAACGCUGGCGGCAUGCUUUACACAUGCAAGUCGAACGGUAACAGGGAGCUUGCUCCGCCGACGAGUGGCGAACGGGUGAGUAAUGCGGCGGAACGUGCCGAGUAGUGGGGAAUAACGCAGCGAAAGUUGUGCUAAUACCGCAUACGUACUGAGGUAGAAAGUGGGGGACCUUCGGGCCUCACGCUAUUCGAGCGGCCGACGUCUGAUUAGCUAGUAGGUGAGGUAAAGGCUCACCUAGGCGACGAUCAGUAGCGGGUCUGAGAGGAUGAUCCGCCACACUGGGACUGAGACACGGCCCAGACUCCUACGGGAGGCAGCAGUGGGGAAUUUUGGACAAUGGGCGAAAGCCUGAUCCAGCCAUGCCGCGUGUCUGAAGAAGGCCUUCGGGUUGUAAAGGACUUUUGUCGGGGAGGAAAUCCCCAGCGCUAAUACCGCUGGGGGAUGACAGUACCUGAAGAAUAAGCACCGGCUAACUACGUGCCAGCCGCCGCCGUAAUAC